rnacentral:tRNA from 1 species
CGGAUGUAGCCAAGUGGAUCAAGGCAUU